rnacentral:ncRNA from 1 species
GAGGAAGCCGGUGUGAAUCCGGCGCGGUACCGCCACUGUGAUCGGCGAGCGGAUCCCCGACACGCCACCGCCCCGGGCGGGGUGGGAAGGCCGGGACGAGCCUUGACCCGAGAGCCAGGAGACUC